AUACGGAGGAUGCAAGCGUUAUCCGGAUUUAUUGGGUUUAAAGGGUGCGUAGGCUGUUCGGAAAGUCAGGGGUGAAAGCCCGGCGCCUAACGCCGGAACUGCCUUUGAUACUUCCGAGCUGGAAUACGGAUGCCGUGGGAGGAAUGAGUCGUGUAGCGGUGAAAUGCAUAGAUAUUACUCAGAACACCGAUUGCGAAGGCAUCUCACGAAUCCGUCAUUGACGCUGAGGCACGAAAGCGUGGGGAUCAAACAGGAUUAGAUACCCUGGUAGUCCACGCAGUAAACGAUGAUGACUAACCGUCGGCGAUACACAGUCGGUGGCCAAGCGAAAGCGAUAGGUCAUCCACCUGGGGAGUACGUUCGCAAGAAUGAAACUCAAAUGAAUUGACGGGG
rnacentral:rRNA from 1 species